rnacentral:rRNA from 1 species
GACAGAGGAUGCAAGCGUUAUCCGGAAUCACUGGGCGUAAAGCGUCUGUAGGUGGUUUAAUAAGUCAACUGUUAAAUCUUGAGGCUCAACCUCAAAAUCGCAGUCGAAACUAUUAGGCUAGAGUAUAGUAGGGGUAAAGGGAAUUUCCGGUGGAGCGGUGAAAUGCGUAGAGAUACGGAAAGAACACCAACGGCGAAAGCACUCUGCUGGGCCGACACUGACACUGAGAGACGAAAGCUAGGGGAGCGAAUGGG